rnacentral:rRNA from 1 species
AUUGAACGCUGGCGGCAUGCCUUACACAUGCAAGUCGAACGGUAACAGGUCUUCGGAUGCUGACGAGUGGCGAACGGGUGGGUAAUACAUCGGAACGUGCCUAGUAGUGGGGGAUAACUACUCGAAAGAGUGGCUAAUACCGCAUGAGAUCUACGGAUGAAAGCAGGGGAUCGCAAGACCUUGUGCUACUAGAGCGGCCGAUGGCAGAUUAGGUAAUUGGUGGGAUAAAAGCUUACCAAGCCGACGAUCUGUAGCUGGUCUGAGAGGACGAUCAGCCACACUGGGACUGAGACACGGCCCAGACUACUACGGGAGGCAGCAGUGGGGAAUUUUGGACAAUGGGCGAAAGCCUGAUCCAGCAAUGCCGCGUGCAGGAUGAAGGCCUUCGGGUUGUAAACUGCCUUUGUACGGAACGAAAAGCCCCGGGUUAAUACCCUGGGGUCAUGACGGUACCGUAAGAAUAAGCACCGGCUAACUACGUGCCAGCCGCCGCAGUAA